GGGGCCGUAGCGCAGUGGGAGCGCGCCUGAAUGGCAUUCAGGAGGUCCCGGGUUCAAAUCCCGGCGGCUCCA
rnacentral:tRNA from 1 species